AUUGAACGCUGGCGGCAUGCUUUACACAUGCAAGUCGAACGGUAACAGGCCGCAAGGUGCUGACGAGUGGCGAACGGGUGAGUAAUGCAUCGGAACGUGCCCAGUCGUGGGGGAUAACGCAGCGAAAGCUGCGCUAAUACCGCAUACGAUCUAUGGAUGAAAGCGGGGGACCGUAAGGCCUCGUCAGAUUGGAGCGGCCGAUGUCAGAUUAGGUAGUUGGUGGGGUAAAGGCUCACCAAGCCAACGAUCUGUAGCUGGUCUGAGAGGACGACCAGCCACACUGGGACUGAGACACGGCCCAGACUCCUACGGGAGGCAGCAGUGGGGAAUUUUGGACAAUGGGCGCAAGCCUGAUCCAGCAAUGCCGCGUGCAGGAAGAAGGCCUUCGGGUUGUAAACUGCUUUUGUACGGAACGAAACGGUCCUGGUUAAUACCUGGGGCUAAUGACGGUACCGUAAGAAUAAGCACCGGCUAACUACGUGCCAGCAGCCGCCGUAA
rnacentral:rRNA from 1 species